rnacentral:rRNA from 1 species
UACGGAGGGUGCAAGCGUUGUUCGGAUUUAUUGGGCGUAAAGCGCGUGUAGGCGGUUUCUUAAGUCUGAUGUGAAAGCCCUGGGCUCAACCCAGGAAGUGCAUUGGAUACUGGGAGACUUGAAUACGGGAGAGGGUAGUGGAAUUCCUAGUGUAGGAGUGAAAUCCGUAGAUAUUAGGAAGAACACCGGUGGCGAAGGCGGCUACCUGGACCGAUAUUGACGCUGAGACGCGAAAGCGUGGGGAGCAAACAGG